GUGUUAAUUGUUGAUUGAUUGAUUGUUUAAUUAUAUGUAUUUUUUUUUGUUUUUAGAAUUUAGCAGAUUUGGUAGCUGCGCAAGAGAUGACGCCACGCGUCUCACGACCGCAACAAUUAAUAAUGCGUGAUGGGGAGAAUUCAAUCGAUUGGAUUCAGUGGAUGGACCGGAGCAGCAGCAGUAGCAGCAUCCAGAGGCGGCGGUGGCGGCGGCUGCUGCUAGAGGUGCGACCACCCUUUGGUGAACAAAGUGCGAUAGAGACAAAAGGGCUUCGACGACGACGACAAUACACCGAAUUCUCCCCCUCUGUGUCAUGGUGGAGGCGAUGGUGAGCGUGUGAGAGGGGGUGGCGGCGGCGGCUUUUUGUGCGGCGAUAACGUCGGAGGGGUUGCCGCGCCACAUAAUAGUUCUAUUGCAUAAUAGGAGGGCGUUCGACGUCGAAGGGAAUGGAGGUGGCUGUGGCGCGCGUGGGGCGGAGGAGGCGGCGGCGGCGUUGGUCCUUAUCAGAAAAUGACUCAUAACAACUGACAGACGCGAACGGGAAAUUGGAAUAAGAAAUUUUCGGGCGUAAAAUGGAAGAUAGUCGAGCUGUAAUUUCCUACCGUCCGCACCGGCACACUGCGAUGAUGCCGCCGCCGCCUCCAACAACGCCGCCCCCUUCAUCCUCUGCACCCCUUUUGUCUCCGUUCAGUACGCUUGAAUGCAUUCUCAUCUCCUCUUCUCCUACAACACCUACCAACACCAACACCCCAACAUCCCCCGCCGCCAACAACAGAACAUGUAGCAUCGUGAGCAUUUCAUCUUCUUUGUUAAUUUUAAAUUACAUUCGAAUUAGUUUUCUCAUCAUCCGCCUCCCUGCCUCACUGCCUUCUCAUUUCUCCCCUCCCCACCCCAUCCUCAUUUAUUUACAUCUCAACUUUCUAAAUGAUCGACAAUAUUAUUUAAAUUCAAAUUGGCACCGUUAUUAUACAUUUGACAAUUAAAUGUCACUUUGACAUUGACUUUUUGAUUGUCAAUUUAGUUUUCUAAUCAUCCGCACUUUUCGAUUGUCAAUGUCAAUCUUUGCU